rnacentral:rRNA from 1 species
GACGAACGCUGGCGGCGUGCUUAACACAUGCCAGUCGAACGGAAAGGCCCUGCUUGCAGGGUACUCGAGUGGCGAACGGGUGAGUAACACGUGGGUGAUCUGCCCUGCACUUCGGGAUAAGCUUGGGAAACUGGGUCUAAUACCGGAUAGGAACCAUCUUUAGUGUGGUGGUUGGAAAGUUUUUUCGGUGUAGGAUGAGCUCGCGGCCUAUCAGCUUGUUGGUGGGGUAAUGGCCUACCAAGGCGGCGACGGGUAGCCGGCCUGAGAGGGUGUACGGCCACAUGGGGACUGAGAUACGGCCCAGACUCCUACGGGAGGCAGCAGUGGGGAAUAUUGCACAAUGGGCGCAAGCCUGAUGCAGCGACGCCGCGUGGGGGAUGAAGGCCUUCGGGUUGUAAACUCCUGUCGCUAGGGACGAAGCUUUGUUGUGACGGUACCUAGAUAAGAAGCACCGGCUAACUACGUG